rnacentral:rRNA from 1 species
AUUGAACGCUGGCGGCAGGCCUAACACAUGCAAGUCGAGCGGAGCGGCGGACGGGGGAGUGAUGCCUAGGAAUCUGCCUGGUAGUGGGGGAUACCGUCCGGAAAUGGGCGCUAAUACCGCAUACUCUCAGAUCAGCUUCGGUCGGAUUAGCUAGUGGGUGGGGUAAAGGCCUACCAAGGCGACGAUCCGGAACUGGUCUUAGAGGAUGAUCAGUCACACUGGAACUGAGACACGGUCCAGACUCCUACGGGAGGCAGCAGUGGGGAAUAUUGGACAAUGGGCGAAAGCCUGAUCCAGCCAUGCCGCGUGUGUGAAGAAGGUCUUCGGAUUGUAAAGCACUUUAAGUAGGGAGGCGUUACCAACAGAAUAAGCACCGGCUAACUUCGUGCCAGCAGCCGCGGUAAUUC